rnacentral:rRNA from 2 species
AAGCCCCUGAAACGGGGUCUAAUACCGGAUAACACUCUGUCCCGCAUGGGACGGGGUUGAAAGCUCCGGCGGUGAAGGAUGAGCCCGCGGCCUAUCAGCUUGUUGGUGGGGUAAUGGCCUACCAAGGCGACGACGGGUAGCCGGCCUGAGAGGGCGACCGGCCACACUGGGACUGAGACACGGCCCAGACUCCUACGGGAGGCAGCAGUGGGGAAUAUUGCACAAUGGGCGAAAGCCUGAUGCAGCGACGCCGCGUGAGGGAUGACGGCCUUCGGGUUGUAAACCUCUUUCAGCAGGGAAGAAGCGAAAGUGACGGUACCUGCAGAAGAAGCGCCGGCUAACUACGUGCCAGCAGCCGCGGUAAUACGUAGGGNGCAAGCGUUGUCCGGAAUUAUUGGGCGUAAAGAGCUCGUAGGCGGCUUGUCACGUCGGAUGUGAAAGCCCGGGGCUUAACCCCGGGGCUGC